GAUGAACGCUGGCGGCGUGCCUAAUACAUGCAAGUCGAGCGAACGGACGAGAAGCUUGCUUCUCUGAUGUUAGCGGCGGACGGGUGAGUAACACGUGGAUAACCUACCUAUAAGACUGGGAUAACUUCGGGAAACCGGAGCUAAUACCAGAUAAUAUUUUGAACCGCAUGGUUCAAAAGUGAAAGACGGUCUUGCUGUCACUUAUAGAUGGAUCCGCGCUGCAUUAGCUAGUUGGUAAGGUAACGGCUUACCAAGGCAACGAUGCGUAGCCGACCUGAGAGGGUGAUCGGCCACACUGGAACUGAGACACGGUCCAGACUCCUACGGGAGGCAGCAGUAGGGAAUCUUCCGCAAUGGGCGAAAGCCUGACGGAGCAACGCCGCGUGAGUGAUGAAGGUCUUCGGAUCGUAAAACUCUGUUAUUAGGGAAGAACAUAUGUGUAAGUAACUGUGCACAUCUUGACGGUACCUAAUCAGAAAGCCACGGCUAACUACGUG
rnacentral:rRNA from 1 species